GACGAACGCUGGCGGCGUGCUUAACACAUGCAAGUCGAACGAAGAGCGAUGGAAGCUUGCUUCUAUCAAUCUUAGUGGCGAACGGGUGAGUAACGCGUAAUCAACCUGCCCUUCAGAGGGGGACAACAGUUGGAAACGACUGCUAAUACCGCAUACGAUCCAAUCUCGGCAUCGGGACUGGAUGAAAGGUGGCCUCUAUUUAUAGGCUAUCACUGAAGGAGGGGAUUGCGUCUGAUUAGCUAGUUGGAGGGGUAACGGCCCACCAAGGCGAUGAUCAGUAGCCGGUCUGAGAGGAUGAACGGCCACAUUGGGACUGAGACACGGCCCAGACUCCUACGGGAGGCAGCAGUGGGGAAUCUUCCGCAAUGGACGAAAGUCUGACGGAGCAACGCCGCGUGAGUGAUGACGGCCUUCGGGUUGUAAAGCUCUGUUAAUCGGGACGAAUGGUUCUUGUGCGAAUAGUGCGAGGAUUUGACGGUACCGGAAUAGAAAGCCACGGCUAACUACGUG
rnacentral:rRNA from 1 species